UAGGGCUUACCGAGAGCAAAGCGGCACCAAGUUCGAGUUCUCUGCUGGCGCCUCAACCUUUGGGAGGAAAGAGUCGGGGGAGAUGUUGAUCUCCCAGACCUUCCGUCCGGUUUGCCUCCUGGCGCUGUCAUUGCUGAGGUGCUGCUGAAAGAACCGGGUUCGUUACAGGUGCCAAACAUAUCCUGCAUUAUGUUUUGCGUGAUUUUGGCUUUUGAAACAAGCAGUCUCAGACUUUUGGGAGAAAGAAGGAUGACAAGGGAUUUGGAAGUGGAGAUUGAGUACUGGAGCACCUUCUCCUAUCUCUGAAGGGAGCAAGAAGAGAUGUUGGUACCUUGUCAUGUUGCUUUCCUAGUGCUGUCCUUCAGAGAUAUUAUGAGAGCAAUUGAUGGCCACUGGAAUGCAGAAAGAGCUUGAUUAAAUAAGACUGCGCCCCUCAGAGACACUUUCCCUCUGAGCCCUCCAAAUAGUAGAACAGCCAUGACUAACUGCUCGUCUCCAGAAUAAUUGUUCUCUGCUCUUGCAGUCAAAAGCACUUAGCAUGACCUAUGGUAUUUCCACUGAACUGAACUGACCAGAACUACUGUUUUUUUCCUCCCAUCCUGUUCUGAAUAUUCAUCCUUAAUAUUGAAUGAUCACUACCAGAAAAAAGAUUGUAGCAUGCUAACCUUAAAGGAUUGAGGGGGAAUUAAAUGAAUCUGGAAUAAAAGUCUUAAGUGCAUUCUGGAUCUACUGCACACACUGGUACAAAUUGAAGCAGAGGCUGAAGAAAUCAAUUCUCCUUGGGAACUCUCAAACUCCAUGAUGCAACUUUCACCAGAUUUCUAAGUCAAAGCAGUAUGUUGUGUCCGACUCUUCAUGACCCCAUUUGGGGUUUCCUUG